GGCAAUGCAGAUGGAGAUACAAUGCAGACUGAGAGGCAAUACAGAUGGAGGGACAAUGCAGACGGAGUAACAAUGCAGACAGAUGCAGGCGGAAUUACAAUACAGACAUAAUGUAUGAUCUGAGUGAUAAUCUUGGGUGCUCCCAAAUCAACAUUACACAGGACACAUUUAAAAGAGAUCUAGAUUAGAGAAUGUUUGGUAGGUUACAUUUAAAAGAUCUAGAUUAGGGAAUGUUUGGUAGGACACAUUUAAAAGAGAUCUAGAUUAGGGAAUGUUUGGUAGGACACAUUUAAAAGAGAUCUAGAUUAGAGAAUGUUUGGUAGGUUACAUUUAAAAGAUCUAGAAUAGAGAAUGUUUGGUAGAUCUAGAUUAGGGAAUGUUUGGUGGAACACUAGAGUUCCCCAAGGCACAGCAGUUGAAAACCACUG
ensembl:lncRNA